rnacentral:tRNA from 1 species
GCCUGGGUGGCUCAGUCGGUUAAGUGUCCAACUUCGGCUCGGGUCAUGAUUUCGCGGUUCGUGGGUUCGAGCCCCACAUCGGGCU